GACGAACGCUGGCGGCGUGCCUAAUACAUGCCAGUCGAACGCUUCUUUCCUCCCGAGUGCUUGCACUCAAUUGGAAAGAGGAGUGGCGGACGGGUGAGUAACACGUGGGUAACCUACCCAUCAGAGGGGGAUAACACUUGGAAACAGGUGCUAAUACCGCAUAACAGUUUAUGCCGCAUGGCAUAAGAGUGAAAGGCGCUUUCGGGUGUCGCUGAUGGAUGGACCCGCGGUGCAUUAGCUAGUUGGUGAGGUAACGGCUCACCAAGGCCACGAUGCAUAGCCGACCUGAGAGGGUGAUCGGCCACACUGGGACUGAGACACGGCCCAGACUCCUACGGGAGGCAGCAGUAGGGAAUCUUCGGCAAUGGACGAAAGUCUGACCGAGCAACGCCGCGUGAGUGAAGAAGGUUUUCGGAUCGUAAAACUCUGUUGUUAGAGAAGAACAAGGACGUUAAUAACUGAACGUCCCCUGACGGUAUCUAACCAGAAAGCCACGGCUAACUACGUG
rnacentral:rRNA from 1 species